CUGAAUCCAACGAUACCAGUUAUGUGCACAUCGGACCUACGCUUCAAAAGAUACGGACAGGUAUUGCUGGAAUGUCCCUUUAAUUUCUGCAGGAGUCCAGUCCUCCUCCCAGACGCCCCUGGAAACCCCUUCGUUGAGGACCGUCGUCGCGUUCGUCUCCAGGUUUCUCCGAUCUGACAGAAAUAUCAGGAGCACGUCCAUCAUAUAGUUGAAGAACUAUAUAUAGUGAAAAAUACACCUGUGGCGUGUCAGUACAGAGGAAAUCACAAUGUCUCAGCUGCAUUAAGACGCCACAAAUAUUCAACUGGUUGCCACGUUGAUAGAUUUGAUCCAUGAUCGACAUUAAGGGCUGCUUAAUUAUAAGCGUGCACAUCAAAUUAUCCUAACUCAUUGAACCUGGAUCGAAUUAGUGAGAUUGCGUGAACGUGAAUAAAGUCUGUAGAGGCCUUGUGUUUCGUGGUUCUUUGUUUAGGUUCCUUACCGAGCUGUAACUGGGUCAUUCUACAGAAACGUCCACUUUUGAUCUUUAAAAAAUAGGAAGGAGGAAGUCGUCAUCAGGUUUUUAUUUUUCUCAAAUGGCUAGGGACAGAAAAAUGGACGUUUCUGUAGAAUGACCCAACUGCUGACUGAUCUGGAAAAAACCUUAAGCACCUGAUGGCUUUAGACCGUUUCUACAGUUGUCAGAUUUUAAGUAAAAUAUCACUGCAAAUGCAUAAAGUCAGAGACGAGCGCUCAUGCGUCACAUGAAAGUCUUUGCUGCCCUCUGGUGCACAACGUGAGGCCCUGACCGUAGGAUGAGCUGGGGGCAUCAACCGUCAGACCCCCCUGUGGCUCUGGUGGCAGCACACCUCUCUCCUGGAGCCUCAUGACAUACCUGCCGACAUGCAUUGGUGGGAGAAGUGAAGCCUUUGCACAUCGGCUGUUGGGUUGCUAAGAGGGACACCUGAAGCGCCGAGGAAGAACCGGUCCUUGUCGUCUCUAUCUGGAGCUUGGGCCUUUAAAUAUUCUGGCCGGAUAUGAACAAACUCCUUUGGACAGCGUUACAGUGACUCCGUCUGCCUCUGGCACUCUGUCGUUCCACUCCUAGAAAAAGAGGCCUGAUGACUCCAGUCCUCCCAGACGUCCCUGGAAUCCCCCACGUCCAUCAUAUAGUUGAAGAAGGCCUGCUGCCUUUCAGUCAGCCUCUCUCUGGCAUCGGAUCUCUCUGGCCAGAAUGGCUCCAGGAUCUCGUCCAGGGGUGCGUUUCCCAAAACCAUAGUUGCUAACAGGUUGCAAUGCAAUUUCCCUAUUGCCAGCCAACUAAGUUGUUAACUUGGUUAGCAACUAUGGUUUUGGGAAACGUACCCCUACAAACAAUAAUGUAACAAAUGACAGUGCUACGCAUUGCAGUUUUAAAUGUGUUACUGGGGGGGGGGGUAAUAUUUGAUAUCAUUGUUAAUACCUUGUCACCUGCUGGCACUUCUCUACUUUUACGCUGCUUUCUCCCAGAGGGUCUAAAAAUAAAGUUUUCUUCUGUGCUGGCAUGAUCACCUUUCAGGAUUUUAAAAUACAUAGAAACAUAGUUAUGCACAGACUAGUGUAGCAUUUUGGUUUAGUUUGCUUAAAAAGAACAAAGCAAGUUGCAUCCUAUACCAUAACUGUCCAGUGAUAGUGGUCGUUUAUGAUUCCUAUUACAUAGUGGUACACUGACAGGUCAAUCUGAAAAUACAAAACGUUUUAUUUUUUAAUUCAAAGCUUUUGCAGCUUUAUAUUAAUGGCACUGAAUAGACCCACCUUCAGCUUUGUUGAAUGGCCUUUCCAGAUGCUGGCCAUUUCAUAGCUGUCAAUGUAAAAGGCGCGCUCCGCUGACCGACUAUUAAAUUUCUUGAUCUCUAGGUGCAUGAAUGCAUUGAUGACCUGCUGACAACGAGGUUUACAUGAAAGUGCAUACAUGUUGUGUUUAUUGUGCAUAACAACAAAGUAAAAAAUAAAAAAUGUU